UUUUAUAAUUCCUUUUCCGCAAGAGACUUCUUUUUUUUUUUUUGCAAUAUGAUUUCUUGCUGGAAAGAUACUGUAAAUUGCUUACACAAUUGUCUAACAGAGAUUGUAAUUUCCUUGUUGUUCACACAUAGCCUGAAUUUGUGGGAAUGCAGAGAUGCGAUUGGGGGGACCUUAGCCGGAAAGGAAACAAAGCCGCUGACCGUAUAAAAAGCCAGUUUCUUAUGCUCUGGAAUACCAUGCUUGAAACUCGCUUCGUGCAGAAAGCUGAUGUAUCUCAGCAUUGUUCUAGAACAUUUCUCUGUAAGAAAAAGUCUAAAUGAAAUAUUGUAACUAGCUGGGCCAGUUGGUCUUGCAUCAUUUUUGUGUCAAGUGCGAAUGUUUAACGGAAGCACACUCGUGUCUUCUUGUUUCUGUGUUUCUGAAGAACUUUCGUUAAACUUCAAGCGUGCAUUGUACUUCCUGUUUGCUGCUACUGUUUCACCCGCUAUUUGCACUUGUCAGAGCUCCCUGCGGGCUAACGGCUCCUCAUAGAUAUAGAUAAAAGUUGUGUAUUCACAGACUCUUCGAUGGUUGCCAACUCUUUUGAUACCCUGUCUCUGCUUUGGAACAUGUGCAUUCGUUUAGAAAGCAGUCACUCAAUGAAUGUCUGCUGUCUCUGCUUAGCAGUUUUUCAGUAGUUUAUCACAGUUUAUCCCUGUGUCGAGCUACCUCGUGUGGCCCACACUGCUUUUAAAGGGCCCCUAAGCCACCCCUGCCAUUUUGAAUAUGUGGUAAACAAACAUGCACAUUGUGCACGGAAUGCCACGGUGAUAAUUUGAUGAACAUGGAAGCACUGUAUGCUGUGGGGAAUCCACAAACUAAAUAAAAAGAACAAUCCUGUGCUCUUCUUCAGGCUUUUAUGGUCCCUUCACCCGUUGUUAUGCCAAUAGGUCCACACGCGUGAUGGCACCAGGGUAAAUGCUCUUGAUUAGUCGGGCAACAAGGGGCAAGAGCGCCAGUGUGCUCUGAAAUGGCCUGGUGUUCUGAGAAGGAAAGGGGUGGGGGGUUGCCCAUUGCGCGCAGCUGAUCUUUCCGUGAAGCCUUCGCGCAGUAUGUGUCAUGCGGAGGGCGAUGAGAGGCAUACUAUGAAGGAGCUUUUCUUCUGGUUAUCUGUUCUGGUUGGCUGAUGCAACCGCUAGCUUUCACUGCACUGAGCAGAGUUGGUGAGACAGACUAUAGAGAGUGACCAUGGGGAGGGUAGCAAAGGCGAGCGUGAAACCAUGGCGGCUGCGUAGUCAUUCAUCAGACACCUAUAACUUUGCUAUUACGGCACCAUUUCAAAACUCCUGCAGCUGUGUGGUCAUUGUAGAAUGGCACACAGCUGCAAUCAUACAACAAAUUUUCAAGCUCAGAGUGGUUUAGGGGCCCUUUAAGGUACCCAGGAUGACUAGGUGUAUUCUGAGGUACCAAGAGUGGCAAGCAGCCGUCGGUGCUUUCAGGAUGAAGCGGUCUUUCUCAACCUGAGGUUUUUUGUAGCUUUCUGAAUCUGUGGACUGUACAUAAUGCUUUUGUUUUGCAGAAGUCGGGUGUCCAACAUGACAUUGGAAACUGCAUGUGACAAACGUGUGCUGGGGAUCGCAUUUCCGGUGUCAAUCAAGGAGACUCAGAGAAUUGAGUUUUCACAGGAUACUAACAGCCGCUCUUUAAGCCACAUUUUGCACGCUUUCAUGACCCAUACUGUACACAGCAGGUUAUCUCAUCAGUCUCGCUAUAUGUUUCUGUGCUUGCUUUGCAACACUAGAUUGCUUUCGAUUCUACUAGACCCGGCAGCUUAAGAAACAAAGACUGCGUUUAGGAAAGUGCAUGUUGUUGCAUUAAAACUGCUGUGCGCUGGUGGGUUGUACAAUGGGUCUAAUAACCAGCAUUUGCAAGGAAAGUUUUCUGGAGAAGCAGACACUGCAAAAACGUUAUGGUGCAUAAAUCUCCAAAUGAGCAAGUGCAUGGUCAUUGCACAUGAUAAAGCCUAAUGCAUCCUGGCAGCAUGCUUUCAUUGGCGCCUUCCAAAGUCAGUUUCCAGAACUACAAUGAACUUAUCGCAGAUGGUGAUGCUUAGCUUGUAGCAGUCUCUUGGACUGGAAAGAGCUAUAGGCCCUAAAUGGACCACAAUGUUACAUUACAUCUAGUCAGGAAGCACACCUUUUCGUUGGCUAUGCCAGGCAUGUGUCUUUGCCCAGCUUUACAUGCAUUUCCACCACUGUCUAAGCUUGGGCCUAUGUUCAAGGCAGGCAUGGUGUGGGGCAAGAUUUUAUGCAUAAUGACUUUGAGAAUUGAGACAGGUGAAGACGUGGUGUAACAUAUGCCUGUCGUAUGUGAGGUGUCCCAACUGAUAUGCAGCAGGUUUUGAAAAAAGAAGUGAAACCUUCUGCGUGGAUGACACUAACCGUAUGUUAGCAACCACUUGAAGUUUCGUGCUCUUGAGCAAUUAGCACUGAUUAACAAUAUAAGUCUUUGGUUAUUAACUUCAUGGCCCCAGUGUCAAUAUGUGGCUUGUGGGGCACACUUAAGAAUGCCACUUUCACUUGUUUACGAUGUGUUACCUUUUGCAUAGCUCUUUCUUUUGCAAUUGAAAGAAUGAUGUUGCGCGAGUGGUGGGAUACAUACACGUGCUUGUAGAGCAUUUUUCGGGCUGUCUUUCAACUUCAAAAAGCAAGAGCUGUGCAAAAGGAAGCACAUCAUGAAGAACUGAAAAUGUCGUUUUCAAAUGUGCUUUACAAACCAUGCAUUGUCAUUGUUGCCAUAAUGUUGAUAAUCCAAAACUUACUUUAUUGAUAGCUAAUAAAUACUUUGUGAGAACACCAAGCAUACUGGAGUCUUCUUCAUGAGGCAGCUAAAAUGCAGUUGGUUUCAUCCACACAAAAGGCUUCAUUUUUCUUUAAAACUUGCUCCAUGUUAGCUGGGACACCCGGUACAUGCUGCAAGUGACAGAGGACGACAAAGUAGUGUGGUCCCCUCCUCCUCGAUCUUAAGGUUUUUCUCUCGGUGCCGUCCCGCUGGAGUAACCUUAUGCUAUCUCGUCCAUAACUGUGCCAAAAUGGUCGUGCCUGCGAGUUGACGUGUCCGUGUUCAUGUCCAGUAAGAGUAGGUUAAGUUUUGUAAUACCCCGACACUUGAUUAAACUGUGGAAGACAAUGACAGACACUGCAUAUGUUGUGUCUUCUAUCACUGUUUAAUAAUGCGUCUAGCCUAAGAAGCUAACUAUUGCGAGCUACCCUUGUUACGCGGGCUGUUCUGAUCGUCGUUGAACUCCAUCUGUAUUGUAACUUUCCAAGUGCAAUCAAAGCACAAGGAGGAUCAUAGCUUACUGCGAUCAAGCUCAACAGGGCUUGAAAGCGGCCAUGUAGCAGUGCACCAUGCACACUGAGCUCCAUACACUUCUACUCGAGCAUGCUCGAAAGUGCAUCAAAAAUGUGUGGCCAGGCAGGCAUGCAUCCUAUAACUAUCCAAUAAGACUUAGUCAACCAGUGUGCUUAUAACAAUCCAAUCAGACUUGGCCAACCAGUGUGCUGUUUGAUGCUUUAUCACCGAAGAAAUUGCGAAAAAAUGUGAUGGUAUAAAUAUACCCCUUGUCGGUUGACUACAGUUCAGUUGUAACAUUUGCAGUAUUGCAAUUGCAAACAAAUGUGAACUGAAGUGCAGUGUGAUCUGAAUGGGAAACAAACACCAAAACUUCAUGCAUUGUGCACAAGUAGGUUGUGUACACAAAUGGCUUGCCUAUUAGUCAGGCAGUUGGCAGUCGCAUCUCUCCUUGACUGAAGCAGUGACAACCUCCCUCUCCUUCUUUUUUUUAAUUUUUGGUCUUGGAAGUGUAGUGCUUCAGGCUUAACGUGUUUGUACUCAUCUUUUGUGGCCUUCAAGAACUGCUCAUGGAUGGAUUGAUAGAAAGUGUCAAACUAUGACAUAUAUGUUCAGUGUUUGCUGUUGUAUGUAUAAAUGGUAAGAGAGCACCUAAUAUUUAGGCAUGCCAUUUGUAUGUGCUUCUUCUUUUUCUUUAAUCGUUAUUGAAUGGACAGUGUUUGUGUGUAUACAUAUAUACCUGUGCAGUCGCUUUGAAACUUCUGCCUUGAAGUAUUGCAGCCUGCAUUUGAUACAUCUGUGUACCACCCUUGUAAAAGACAUUUGAUUUGUUAGCAGUCACCAAGCACCUUGACAUGAAAUAAAGUGUUACCUGCA
rnacentral:lncRNA from 1 species